rnacentral:rRNA from 1 species
CGUAGGUGACCAGCGUUGUCCGGAUUUACUGGGCGUAAAGAGCGCGCAGGCGGUCGUUCAAGUCGAGUGUGAAAGCCCCCGGCUCAACUGGGGAGGGUCACUCGAUACUGAUCGACUUGAAGGCAGGAGAGGGAAGCGGAAUUCCCGAUGUAGUGGUGAAAUGCGUAGAUAUCGGGAGGAACACCAGUGGCGAAGGCGGCUUCCUGGCCUGUUCUUGACGCUGAGGCGCGAAAGCUAGGGGAGCAAACGGGAUUAGAUACCCCGGUAGUCCUAGCCGUAAACGAUGGACACUAGGUGUUGGUGGUAUCAACCCCACCAGUGCCGAAGCUAACGCAUUAAGUGUCCCGCCUGGGGAGUACGGCCGCAAGGCUA